CAAACAACGAAGAGUUGUUUAGUAUAAGUCUGUCCUCUGCAAUAUUGGGGACAUAUUUAUACUAAUAAAUCAUUCAUUGUUAGCUGAAAUUCAAAUGUAACUGAGCCUCCUUUAUUUUACCUGGCGCCCCUGCCGCUGGGCCUCCUGGCAAAGAUCAUUUGUGAGCAGAGAGCCGAGCGCGCCCUCACCUUCUCCUGGAAAGGCUCGGACAGCCAACCAGAGCCGCGCUGAAGACAACCCACAAGGCCGGCUCGGUGAGGACAAGAACCAAAGCCGAGUUCCUCUUCUUUAACCCCAGAUUGUCAGCCCCAUGUCGCUGUCCCUAAAUUGAAGUGCCCCUGCACUGUGGCUCUCCGGGGCCAGGACUCCCAGCAAACGACAGUGCAGGGCUGGCAGCCUUUGCACUGAUGCUCUCCCGUCUGAUGGAAACAAGCCCACCCCUUCCUAAGGCUCGGCUGAGGGCCCACAACCCUGCAGUUCUUGGCUCCAAGUUACAAAGAUCAAGCAAGACACAGCCAACAGGCCGCCAGCUCGGUGCCCGCUGUGGGCCAUCCGUCAGAGCCCAGCCCGCAUCUGGGAAGGUCUUCUCAGAAGGUCAACAGCUGAGGAUCUGGGGACAGACGGACUUGGGGUCAAAUCCAUCCUUCACCAGCUGUGAGACCUCAAGCAAGUUACAACCCCCAGCCUCAGUUUCCUCAUCUGUAGAAUGGGGGGAGAAUACCAACCUCCUCGGGGUGUUGGGCCAUUUACCCUGAGAUGCUCCAGGUGUGAGAUGCCCAGCACGGGGCCUCCCACAGUGAAUGCGCCCUAAGGGCUGGGGUAUUAAAUUGUCGUG
rnacentral:lncRNA from 1 species